GACGGAGGAUGCAAGCGUUAUCCGGAAUGAUUGGGCGUAAAGCGUCCGCAGGUGGCAGUUCAAGUCUGCUGUCAAAGACCGGGGCUUAACUUCGGAAAGGCAGUGGAAACUGAACAGCUAGAGUAUGGUAGGGGCAGAGGGAAUUCCUGGUGUAGUGGUGAAAUGCGUAGAGAUCGGCAGGAACACCCAGGGGGAAACCAGCCGACUGGGCAUCUGCUGACGCUGAGGUGCGAGAGCGUGGGGAGCGAACCGG
rnacentral:rRNA from 1 species